rnacentral:lncRNA from 1 species
UGAUGACGUCGGGGUGGAUGCCGGGCAUAUUUGAGGCGCUCCAUGCAAAGAGGUUGUUGCUGGUUCGUAACAGUGUGGCGAGGUUGCUUUCAUCCAUUGGAGUGAGGUCAGCUCCUAUGUUAGUAAUUUGUUCAUCGUUCUUCCCCAGGACGAACGAUUUGAUCUCUCCCUGGGGUUGAAUCCGGUCGUCUGUGUUGGUCCUCG